AAAGUUGAACCCUUUCCCUCAAUCUUCACCAAGAAUCAUGAUUCCCAAUAAUGGGUUUGUUCAUUCUUCACCUAAUUCACCUUGGUCUAGUGGGUCACCUGUGUUUUCAAGAAGCCCUAGACCAAUAAUGGCUAGCUCUAGUUCACUAUCUUAUGCUGCUGUUGUGAAUGGUUCAACUAAUUCUGUUUCUGGGUCUUCAACUACUUCACUAUCACUACCUCUCUUAUGCUGCUGUUGUCAAUGGUUCAACUAAUUCUGUGUCUGGGUCUUCAACUACUUCACUAUCACUACCUUUUUACAAUAAUAACAAUGAGCUUAAUGAUGAGUUUGGUAGUAAUACUAGUGUUCAAGUUCAAGAUCAUCAAGUCUUGUCAUUUCUUGAUGAAUCAUUGGAUCCAAUUAUGAGUCCUAGUGGUAGAAGUGAUUCACUU
rnacentral:lncRNA from 1 species